rnacentral:tRNA from 1 species
GAGGGUAUAGCUCAGUGGUAGAGCACGUGCUUAGCAUGCAGGAGGUCCUGGGUUCGAUCCCGAGUAUCUCCA